rnacentral:lncRNA from 1 species
GGAGUAUCACUACUUUACACAUUGUUUCAUCACACACCUAUAUUUCAGGGGGAGUUUACAUUUUCUUUGUGAUGAACCUGUGGUUAUUGAGAGCAUCAUUAUACCUUUGAAACUGCAUAUCUUUUUUAUGCAUCUCUGAUUUCAAAAACUGCAUAAAUAUCAAAGCAUUCCUUUUUUGUUAAUGCACAAAGGGGGAGAGUUUUCAUUAGUAUAUGAGAGCAAGUCUAUAUGGGGAGAAUUGAUGUAUCAUACUUUAUCUGCUUGAUGAUAUUUUUGUUGUAUAUGCAGAGUAACUGAACUAUCUUUAUUGAUUUUGAUAUAUAUGUUUUUACUCUGUCAUAUGUGGAAUUGUAC